GGCAGCAGAGGCACCUUUUCCUUGCUCCUGGCAGCAUCUAGAAAGUCUCAGGGAGGAACGGAAAGUAAACACAAGAACACCUUCUGUCGUCUCCACCACAGGCAGCGGCUUGUUCUGGUUUUACUGCAUUUCACCAGGUGUCAGCAGAGAUACUCAGCUCUGAGGCAGCAGCUCCAGCCUCGCAGCUCUAGGCGUCUGGUUAUAUAGUAACCUGUUGCUUCAGCUGCAGAUCCACCUCUGUCGCCUCUUCUGACUGGCUAGGACAAGAAGAAAGCCCUUCCUUCCACCUGCUUCCCAGUGGAGUGUAGAAGGUUAAACUGGAAGAAAGGAGACAACGGGCAAAAGAGAGGGGAGCAGUCGGAGGUCAGAAGCUACUUCGCCUUUUGCUCCUGCCGUUUUUGAUCACCGGAGGGAAUUGUCGGCUGAAGAAAAGCCGCGCGAGAAGCGUGAAGAGAAGGUAGAAUGGCAGCGAACCUGGACUAAGAGAAGUGCAAGGUGAGAAGGGAACAACAGGAGCCCAAGGAAAGGGGAGAGUCCAGCUGAAUUCGGAGCAAAAGUGAAUGUCUUGAAAGCAGUAUGAGCCAGAAAGGAUCUACAAACAGUUAUCCUGGUUCUCCAAAUGGCAGUAUGGGCAAAGCAGAUGGAGCUGCCAAAAUGAGUGCAAAAGAUUUAUAUGGUAUGUUCCCAGUUUCUUAUUAUUUCAGUUUUUAGCUUGCUCUC
rnacentral:lncRNA from 1 species